rnacentral:rRNA from 1 species
UUUCCCACUGAACGAACCAUCGAUGUCGACUAGGUUAUGGACGCACGGAUGAGGCUGAUAAUCCAGGCAGCAGCACUGAUUAGUGUGAUUAGGGCAUGGGUCAUGUUCAUGCACCAGAGAGCUGUUCGUCGUGCUGGGAGACCUUUGCUCCGCUAUGGUCCAUUGUUUCCCUGGGAACAGGAGAGGAUCCAAAAUCUGAACUACAUCUACAAUUGCAAUGACGUCGAGGCUCUGUGGAUGCUUAGAAUGAAAAGAGCACCAUUUGCCAGGCUUCUCGAGACCUUCAGGAGCAGAGUGCUGUUACAAGAUAGCAUCAACACCAGUGUCGAAGAGCAAGUGACGAUGUUCCUCCAUGUUGUUGGCCAUAACCAGAGGUUCAGGGUCAUUCACAACACGUUUAGGAGGUCAAUGGAGACCAUCUCUAUGUACUUCAAGCAGGUGCUUUAUGCUGUUGGGGAGCUUAGAGGAGAGCUGAUCAGGAGACCAUCUGGCCAGACACCACCCAAGAUUCAUGGAAGCCCAAGAUGGUAUCCAUACUUCAAGGUGAGCAUUGACAAUAUACACUUUUCGUGGCUUGAUAUGCUUGUAUUGUUCGAGUUGAGAACUAACACGGGCUUGUGA